UACGAAGGGGGCUAGCGUUGCUCGGAAUGACUGGGCGUAAAGGGCGCGUAGGCGGUUCGUACAGUCAGACGUGAAAUUCCCGGGCUCAACCUGGGGACUGCGUUUGAUACGUGCGGGCUUGAGUUCGGAAGAGGGUCGUGGAAUUCCCAGUGUAGAGGUGAAAUUCGUAGAUAUUGGGAAGAACACCGGUGGCGAAGGCGGCGACCUGGUCCGAUACUGACGCUGAGGCGCGAAAGCCAGGGGAGCAAACGGG
rnacentral:rRNA from 1 species